AAUGUGCUGUGCUGUGUGUGCCUGCAGAAUUGCCACGAGAGGAAAUACUUCAGAGGGGCUUCCCUCCAGAUAAGGCCUGAAGAUGCCAGGAGGUUUCAGCCGGGAGGAAAGGAGCUGUGGAAGAAAAGCAGCCUAAAAACAGCCAGUGGGGAUCAUCAGGUUUUCCAGCCAAGAAGAACAAGGAGAGAGAUGAGGGAAUCGGGUUCCAAUUCCUAAUGCUUUGGAAGUGGGCUGGGACAAGGGAAUUGGCUCCCACGAGGCCGAGGAUCAGAGCGGGCUGUGCACAGGGGACAACUUCCACUUCCGAACGGGGAAGGGCCCCUUCGUGCCCACCCCUGGCAAACUGGGACAGAGUAACAUCUGCCUGCAGCUGGCUGGAGUUCCCGUUGGCUCUGGGCUUUCAGCCCGCCGG